rnacentral:ncRNA from 1 species
GUUUCAGGGCGGGGUGCAAUUCCCCACCGGCGGUAAACGUGCCUUGUGGCCGUAAGCCCGCGACCGGCUGCCAACGCAGCCGCUGAUCCGGUGAGAAUCCGGGGCCGACGGUAUAGUCCGGAUGAAAGAAA